AUUGAACGCUGGCGGCAUGCCUUACACAUGCAAGUCGAACGGUAACAGGUCUUCGGAUGCUGUCGAGUGGCGAACGGGUGAGUAAUACAUCGGAACGUGCCCGAUCGUGGGGGAUAACGAGGCGAAAGCUUUGCUAAUACCGCAUACGAUCUACGGAUGAAAGCGGGGGAUCUUCGGACCUCGCGCGGACGGAGCGGCCGAUGGCAGAUUAGGUAGUUGGUGGGAUAAAAGCUUACCAAGCCGACGAUCUGUAGCUGGUCUGAGAGGAUGAUCAGCCACACUGGGACUGAGACACGGCCCAGACUCCUACGGGAGGCAGCAGUGGGGAAUUUUGGACAAUGGGCGAAAGCCUGAUCCAGCCAUGCCGCGUGCAGGAUGAAGGCCUUCGGGUUGUAAACUGCUUUUGUACGGAACGAAAAGCCUCUUUCUAAUAAAGAGGGGUCAUGACGGUACCGUAAGAAUAAGCACCGGCUAACUACGUG
rnacentral:rRNA from 1 species